rnacentral:rRNA from 1 species
AACGAACGCUGGCGGCGCGCCUAACACAUGCAAGUCGAGCGGCAGCGCGGGGGCAACCCUGGCGGCGAGCGGCGGACGGGUGAGGAAUGCAUCGGAAUCUGCCUCGUUGUGGGGGAUAACGUAGGGAAACUUACGCUAAUACCGCAUACGACCGAGAGGUGAAAGUGGGGGACCGCAAGGCCUCACGCGAUGAGAUGAGC